rnacentral:rRNA from 1 species
UACGUAGGGUGCAAGCGUUAAUCGGCCUUACUGGGCGUAAAGCGUGCGCAGGCGGUUAUGCAAGACAGAUGUGAAAUCCCCGGGCUCAACCUGGGAACUGCAUUUGUGACUGCAUGGCUGGAGUGCGGCAGAGGGGGAUGGAAUUCCGCGUGUAGCAGUGAAAUGCGUAGAUAUGCGGAGGAACACCGAUGGCGAAGGCAAUCCCCUGGGCCUGCACUGACGCUCAUGCACGAAAGCGUGGGGAGCAAACAGG